UGCCCGGAUAAAGAACUUAAAAUUGGAUCUGAAUUUUUCACUUUUAGGAUAAAAAUGCACCAUUUUAUGGAGGAAUUGUAGCAAAACAAGGUUUGCUGGUUACACGAUGGUGUGCAAGGAUGAGGUUUACACAUGGUUCAAAAAUUUAUCUGGCCCGAAACGCAUCGACUUUGUGUGUGGAUUGCUACAUAUGUGCCUCCCCUUGGAACUCAGGUUUUUUGGAUCAGUUGUGGAGGAUUUGGCUAAAAAGGAUUACCACUAUUUGAGACAAGCAGAGAUUAAAUCAAAUGAUGCUAUAGAUUUAAAACAUUUGACACGUGUGACAGACGAAAUAGUCAGGCACAGACUUAGUGUAGCUCUAGCAUUAGUACAUUCAACGAACAGUGAUUGUUCGAAUACACUAUUCAAUAUUUUGACGUACCUCACGUCUUGUGUUAGUAUGAUACCUCUUAAUGAUCACAGUGCAAAGGAGCUUUUGCUCAUGUACAUUAUGGCCACAAACCAUCCAGCAUUUACAUUUGACCAGCGGCAGCGUCUAUUUGAGCAACAAAUGUCUAUAGAAAAUCACUGCAAGGACUUUUUACAGACUGAAGGAUGUGAUAGAUGUCAGGGUGGCUUGGUGACCACAGGGACUGAAACAGAUGGAUCUAUCAUACACAAACCAGUUUGCGUUGAGGAGAUUGCCGUUGAGUGUUGUAGAUUUAUCAACAAUCACUAUGAGUUUAACAUACAGGUGAGCUGGGACAAUGGAGACAUCUCAGAGGUGUGUAAAACUUACCAGGACCUACAUGAGUUUCACACAAAGUUGUUGAAACUGUUUCCCGAAGAAGCUGGAGCACAUCGUCAGAAACGGAAAAUCCCAUACUUUCAAAGUCUGCACAGCAAGCAGCGUGCACUGAAGGAGGAAUCACUGGAUCACAUCAAGUCAUUGGUUGUUGAGUAUACACAACAACUAGCUGCUCUGCCCUCAUAUAUCAUGGAAUGUGACCAUGUGGUGACAUUCUUCAAUGGGAUGACUGAUGACCAGACAACAAGCAGCAGUUCUGCCAAAUCAUCUCCAGUUAAUAACCAAUCAAAUGCUAUGAAUCAUGCCAAGUCUCUAAGGAACAGCCAAUCAGAGCCUGUAUAUACCCCUGAACCCCCUGAAGAUGGCAGCAUAAUCAGCCCGACAGGCCAAGUGAAAACAUGCACGAUUUAUAACUCUCAGAUUGGUGACUCUCCCAUCAAGCCAGUAACUCCCCCUAUUGGUAAGAUGGUUGAUCCAGUGCAACAAUCUGCGCCAAUCAACAAUGUCAACACCCUAGUCACAAACCAUAGACACACAUAUACGUUUGUGGCAAGUUCGCCUUCACCCCAUGGAUCUCCUCUCCCCUCCCCACUCUCUUCUCCACAUAUCUCCCCCUCCCUCUGCUCUCCAAUGGUGCUAACUAGUGGCGGUAGUUCUCCGGUACUACCCCCAGGGAACUCCCCUCAGUCCUCCCCAAGGCCAGGUAACGCAAUACAGCAGUGGCUGAAGAAGAUACGUCUUCACAAAUACGCAGACAGACUCAGUACUUACACAUUUGAAGAGCUCUUACGCUUGUCAGACAAAGAUUUUCAAAAUCAGGGACUUACAGAAGGUGCAAUCGGGAAACUGCGGCGAGAAAUCAACUGCAUCAAAGAAAACAAAAAUGUGAAUGGGAUCUCAAUGCUCGACCCCAAUGGUCACGUAGUAUUCAAACGCUCUCCACAAAAUGCUUCGCGUCAACUAAUGUCUCCCCCUGUGUACAAUAUUGCGCAAGGAUACCUUCAGCCAAGCGGACUUCUUGCACCAGUUCAGAAACUAUUUCCCCAGCAGAUGGAGCCAUCAGUUGCAAGUAGUAUCGAUAGUUCAUCAUUGUGCUCAGAAUACUCUAGUCCAGCUGCUAGCCCUGUGCCUGAACAUGUAAAGUCUGGAGAUAGCCAAGAUGAACUCAUAGAUUCAGACUCUCAACUUCAAAGCCCCACAAAUAGAGGAAGGGAAGACUUGCAUACACUUCUAAACAACUCAUUGGAUCAACUCGAGGCAUAUAGUAGCAGUCAGACUAAUAACCCCUGUGUAGACAUGGUGGAUGGGUCAGCCCCAUUGACUAGUCAAUUCUUAAAUAAUGCGCCUAGCCAGUAUGUGCCAACUCAGAACUCAGUUUCAGUGCUUAUUCCCUCAGAUAGGACUAUAUCAACUAGUUAUCAAUCACUAGUCACCAUAGCAACAGCUCCCUCUAGUGUGCUGGCCCCUGGUGAACAAACUAUAGUAAAUAUGCCAUCUGGUGGCCAAAUAAGAAAUAUAUUGCCUCCAGGAGAGCACAUGCCCCCUGGUGGCCAAAUACGGACAAUGAUGUUGCCAUCUAGUGAGCAGUCUGUCUCUGUAGUGCCACAGAGUGGCCAAAUAAGAAACAUGGUACCCUCGUGUGAGCAUACUUCAAUGCCCCCUGGUGGCAAUAUUAGGGCGAUGAGACCCCAAAUGAUUGGCCAUGUCAACCCACAUGUACCAAUACAAAUCUUGCCUCAUCCUAUGAUAUGGCAGCAACAGCAGCAAGUUCGCAUGCCCAGGCCUGCAAUUAAGCCCGCUGGUCACCAGACCAAUGCCCCUACUAAUUAUAUGACCUCAAAGGUACCUCUAAAUGGCACUCCAAACCCUGUCAGCCAGUCGGGCAGUUCUGUAGCCAGUGGCAACCCUAACUCUGUGAAUACCAACACAGUAAGUGACGUUGUAGCUGAUAUCAGUAAACCCCCAAUGAACAGUGUAAGCGUCUCAGCAUCACCAUUGGUCUGUGCAGGUGUACAAUCACCAGACAUCAUCGCCACUAGAUCAGGCAGCUCCUCUUAUGUGACUACAGUGCCAUCUAUCCCUGGGUAUCCUGUACAACAACAAGUGCCUCCAGCGCCAGUAGCUGACGAACUGAAUGAUAAAAACAAGCUGAAUAUCAGUACAGAUGGGCAGCCACCUAUUUAUAAAAGUGUUGUGACAUUUACACCCAUUCAGAAGUCUGCUAAUCCUAUGAUAAACUCAAUAGAAAAUGUCCAGUUCCGAGAUUCCGAGCUGGUGCCCCCCACCCAGUGUCACCCAAGGGCUGAAAGCCCAGCACGCCAAGAACCUCCCCAAAUGAUUACUGUGUCUCAGGCAGCGUGUGAUAAGCCCCUAGGGGUCAUACCCUCAACAAGUUGCCCACCUCCAGGGAAUAUAGUACCCCAAGAGAUCAUGUCACCCCCAAGUGGGCCACCCCCUGGGGUCAUUCCCCCUCAAGGUUGCCCACCCCCAGGGGUCAUGUUGCUUCCCCAAGGGGUAAUACCACCCUCAGGUCCACCUCCUGUGGGGGUCUCAUCUCCAAGCACUGUCUCCACAGACUCGGAUACUGCACAAUGUGUAGAUAACAUCGAUAACACUACAAAGAAGCUAGAUGAAGGGGAAUCUGUAUCAGUAUCAAAAAAUGUUCAAAAUUUUGAAAGUUUCCCGCAACAUCUGCCGCAUAGUUCUGCAGUUGUGCCUCAUUCUGGUUGGAACCAUCCAGUGGUGCCCCCUGGUGUACAAAUGUUGCCACCCCCUAUGAUCCCUGGUACUGAUCACCGCAACAUGACUGCAACUCCUCCCGGGGGACAGUCGGGACAUCAUGGAAGCCAGCCAUCUUGUAGUAACUGUGGAUGUAACGGGCAACAUAAUGCCGCGAAUUACGCACCAUAUAACGUAACAUUUAUCAGACAACCUCUGCCUUAUAUGGCGCAUCCUAAUUUCAUCCCACCGACUUCUAACGGACUAGUGAAUCACCUAGCUGGGCUUCCCUUUAGUCCUAUGCAUCAUGGACAUCUCCCAAAUGGCCUUAGUCAGGAUCUUAUGUACAAUCAACACAGUCACAAUGUUAACGUUUUGCCAUCGAGACCACCUGGAACUCCCCCAGGCCAUUUUAGACUACCCCAUAUGCCUUAUCAUAGCAUUGCCCAAAAGCCCCAUGGGAAACAUAGGCUGUCAUGUUAUAACUGUGGCGUGGCAGGACAUCGGGCGUCAGAAUGUACUCAGAAGACAAUGGACUCUGUGACAUCACAAGGUCACUAUCAUCUGAACUACCAGCCAAAAUCAGACUCUGACUGACAGGAGCAGUCUCACAGUUACCACAUAUAGAUUGACUGUCAGCAAAUAAUAUCGUAUACAGAAACCAUGUAGAUUAUGUCACUGUGAAGAUUCUGUUUCAUUGGCAACUAUGUACUAUAGUUUUAAGAGGGUAACGAUAAAUAUUGAGUCUCUAUGACAAUUGUAUACAUGAUGUAGCUAUGGCAACCAAGUAUAUAAUGUUAAAUGGUAACUUUGUACAUUUAUCACCACAUAUUGUCACUGGUAGCCACUAACAUCACGAUUCUAUGGUAAGCUCCAUACUUUUGUCACAGAGAGUAGUUACUAAAGAGACAAUAUAUAUAUUAUGACCUGGUGGUUGCUAUGUACAUUUAACAUCUGGUAACCACUUAUAGUAUGUCUUGUAUUGCAAUGAAUCAUGGUUUAAUGAAUCUGAAAUGUGAUUCACAGCAAACCAUUGCUUCUUCCAAGCCCUUUUUCUAAUCAUCCUUAUCUGCUGCGAUACAUGGAUCUGACAAAAGCCAUCUUUAUUGAGCAUAACUAGAUACAAGGCCAUCUAGUGAGCAUAAUUUGAUUUUUAAGGCCCUCUAGUGAGCAUAGUCUGAUGCUAGGCCAUCUAUUGGAGACUACAAUGCCAUCUUGUGGCAGAAAAACACUCAAUUUGACCAAAGACAUAAGGAAGUGAUUAAGAUUUGAAUAGAAUGAUUUGACUAAAUGGCAUGUAUACACACAUGUACAUGGACCAUAACGAGCCUUUUAUACAGUACUUAAAGUAUGUGCCAGAUGAUACCGGGCAGUCGGAAUAUUGGGUAACGACAUAAGUAUAUGUACAUUUUAUGUUAAUGUGGUGUGUAACUGCCACAUGUCCAAUCAAAAUAAGGAAAGUUUAUGUUUGCGCUGUACAUUAUAUGACGUACAACAAGCACAUAUCUCAUGAAUGCUGCUAUAUGCUUUAGUUUACAAGUUUAAGAUAAAACUGUAUUAUAUAAUAAUUACUAUUGUAUGUGAUGUGAGUGUUUUAUGACGUGUGACUGAGAAUUCAGAUUCAUUUAGUUACGCCAUAUUUUUGAAUGGUAAGUUUUACCAUGUAAUGUAUAAAGUAAUGUAUUUUAAAAGGUGUAACAUCAGAGCAUGUUAUUUGGAUGAGAGGUAUUGCUAAAAAAUGAUCAGACUAAAUCCCAACAAUUCUCGCAAGAAUCAGGGGGCCGUUUCUUUAAAAUGUUGUAAAAUUCAGUUGUAUUUUAUGAUACUCAUCAAUAGUUACUGUAAAUACCUACAAAUAUAUUUUGCAAAUCAAUAAUUUAAUUUGAUAUUUUAAGAUAAUGGCUCUGGAAUUAACAAAAGCCUCAUCGAUUCAACUUUCUGAAUUUAUUUAUGUUUUUGAACGUGACUGCCAUGACAUUGAUUUUGGGUAACUACUGUACUUUUUUUAUCACACUUUUAAAAAGUGCUUUAUUUUCAUUAUCUUACAUGUCUUAGAGACAGGCGCCACAUAAAUCUUGUUAUCAAAAUUCCAGGAAAACUGCUUCUCCGUUGAAAUUCUUACAGAUGUUACAGAUGCAAUAACAGACUAGUGCCGAGAUUUUGAUUUGGUUUUGUGCAUGCUUACUUCGCAUUCUUACUUAUCAGCUGGCGUCCUGCACAAAUGUGACUGGCGUGUUACAUGGCAGCCAUUUUGCUCUUCAUACUUCAAAGUUCGAUAUUUAUCACUGUGUGACUUAAAAUAUUUAUUUGCAACAAUGAACUACAUUUUUGAGGGUAUUACCUUGGAGUAUUUGGUGUAAGAAGAGGAUACAAACAAAUAUAAGUAUUUAUAAAAGUGUAGAAUUCUCUAUUGAAUUUUAUUUAUCUGGAAGAUAAUGCAUUAAGAAGGAAUUUUAUUCGAAAGAAUGAAAUAUUGCAAUAGUAUGUAAAAAGAAACAAAAACGGGUAGAAUAUUUUAAGUGUAUUUGUAUAAAGUAUACUGUAUAAAGCAACUUUUGCCAAACAUUCAGUCAUUGAUUGCUAACUCAGUUAUGGAUUGCAAAUUCAGAAAUGGAUUGCCAACUCUUGUUUUGGAUUGCAG
rnacentral:misc_RNA from 1 species